UACGUAGGUGGCAAGCGUUGUCCGGAUUUAUUGGGUUUAAAGGGUGCGUAGGCGGUCUUUUAAGUCAGUGGUGAAAUACGGCAGCUCAACUGUCGAGGUGCCAUUGAUACUGGAAGACUUGAGUACUGAUGAGGUAGGCGGAAUGGACGGUGUAGCGGUGAAAUGCUUAGAUAUCGUCCAGAACACCGAUAGCGAAGGCAGCUUACUAAGGAGUAACUGACGCUGAGGCACGAAAGCGUGGGGAUCAAACAGG
rnacentral:rRNA from 1 species